rnacentral:pre_miRNA from 1 species
GGGGGGAGGCCGGAACCUGGGCUGUGUCCCUGGCGCCCUGUGCUCCCGAGCCUGUGCUGCUGGAUUCGUGCUCCUGGGGCCGCGUAGCCGCUU